CCUACGGGUGGCAGCAGUAGGGAAUUUUGCGCAAUGGGCGAAAGCCUGACGCAGCAACGCCGCGUGAUUGAUUCAGCCCUUCGGGGUGUAAAGAUCUGUCAGUGGGGCCGAAACUUGCCGGUACCCACAGAGGAAGCACCGGCUAAAUCCGGGCCAGCAGCCGCGGUAAUACGGAGGGUGAAAGCGUGGUCCGGAAUCAUAGGGCUUAAAGAGUUCGUAGGUGGCAUGUUAAGUCUGGUGUUAAAUGCAGAAGCUCAACUUCGGUUCGGAACUGGAUACUGUUAAGCUGUGUUGCGGUAGAGGUAAAGGGAAUUCCUGGUGGAGCGGUGAAAUGCGUAGAUAUCAGGAGGAACAUCGGUGGCGUAAGCGCUUUACUGGGCCGUAAUUGACACUGAGGAACGAAAGCCGGGGUAGCAAAUGGGAUUAGAUACCCGAGUAGUC
rnacentral:rRNA from 1 species